rnacentral:tRNA from 1 species
ACUAACUUGGCAGAUAAGUGCAUCGGAUUUAAGCUCUGAAUAUAAAACUUAAGUUUUAUUUAGUA